GCGAGAGUGGUGGAACUGGUAGACACACAGGACUUAAAAUCCUGCGGCCAUUGCGGCUGUGCGGGUUCGAUUCCCGCCUCUCGUA
rnacentral:tRNA from 1 species